rnacentral:misc_RNA from 1 species
GAUGAAGAACGUAGCGAAAUGCGAUAAGUAAUGUGAAUUGCAGAAUUCAGUGAAUCAUCGAAUCUUUGAACGCACAUUGCGCCCGCCAGUAUUCUGGCGGGCAUGCCUGUUCGAGCGUCAUUUCAACCAUCAAGCCCCCGGCUUGUGUUGGGGACCUGCGGCUGCCGCAGGCCCUGAAAACCAGUGGCGGGCGCGCUAGUCACUCCGAGCGUAGUAAUACAUCUCGCUCAGGGCGUGCUGCGGGUUCCGGCCGUUAAAAAAGCCUUAUUUACCCAAGGUUGACCUCGGAUCAGGUAGGAAGACCCGCUGAACUUAAGCAUAUCAAUAAGCGGAGGA